UACAGAGGUCCCAAGCGUUGUUCGGAUUCACUGGGCGUAAAGGGUGCGUAGGCGGUCGGGUAAGUCUGAUGUGAAAUCUCACAGCUUAACUGUGAAACUGCAUUGGAUACUAUCCGGCUCGAGGAAUGGAGGGGAGACUGGAAUACUUGGUGUAGCAGUGAAAUGCGUAGAUAUCAAGUGGAACACCAGUGGCGAAGGCGACGUGCUGGACCUCUUCUGACGCUGAGGCGCGAAAGCCAGGGGAGCAAACGGG
rnacentral:rRNA from 1 species